GUAAAGCGCACGCAGGCGGUCUGUUAAGCUAGAUGUGAAAGCCCCGCGCUCAACGGUGGGAGGGUCAUUUAGAACUGUCAGUCUUGAGUUCGAGAGAGGUGAGUGGAAUUCCGAGUGUAGAGGUGAAAUUCGUAGAUAUUCGGAGGAACACCAGUGGCGAAGGCGGCUUACUGGCUCGAUACUGACGCUGAGGUGCGAAAGUGUGGGGAGCAAACAGGAUUAGAUACCCUGGUAGUCCACACCGUAAACGAUGAAUGCCAGUCGUCGGGUAGCAUGCUAUUCGGUGACACACCUAACGGAUUAAGCAUUCCGCCUGGGGAGUACGGUCGCAAGAUUAAAACUCAAAUGAAUUGACGGGGGCCCGCACAAGCGGUGGAGCAUGUGGUUUAAUUCGAUGCAACGCGAAGAACCUUACCUACACUUGACAUGCUGAGAAGUUACUAGAGAUAGUUUCGUGCCUUCGGGAACUCAGACACAGGUGCUGCAUGGCU
rnacentral:rRNA from 1 species